rnacentral:rRNA from 1 species
UGUUCUUCGUGAACAUAGCGAACUGCUCAGUAACACGUGGAUAACCUACCCUUAGGACCGGAAUAACCCCGGGAAACUGGGGAUAAUACCGGAUAAGCCAUAGACGCUGGAAUGCCCUAUGGUUCAAAGCUCCGGCGCCUAAGGAUGGAUCUGCGGUCUAUCAGGUUGUAGUGGGUGUAACGUACCUACUAGCCGACGACGGAUACGGGUUGUGAGAGCAAGAGCCCGGAGAUGGAUUCUGAGACACGAAUCCAGGCCCUACGGGGUGCAGCAGGCGCGAACACUUUACAAUGCGGGAAACCGCGAUAAGGGAACCCCGAGUGCCAGCAUCAAAUGUUGGCUGUCCGGAUGAUUAAAAAUCAUUUGUUAGCAAGGGCCGGGCAAGACCGGUGCCAGCCGCCGCGGUAACACCGGCGGCCCGAGUGGUAGCCGUUUUUAUUGGGUCUAAAGGGUCCGUAGCCGGCCUGAUAAGUCCUUUGGGAAAUCUGGCAGCUUAACUGUCAGGCUUCUAAGGGAUGUUGUCAGGCUUGGGACCGGAAGAGGUAAGGGGUACUCCAGGGGUAGGAGUGAAAUCUUGUAAUCCCUGGGGGACCAUCUGUGGCGAAGGCGCCUUACCAGAACGGGUCCGACGGUGAGGGACGAAGGCUAGGGGAGCAAACCGGAUUAGAUACCCGGGUAGUCCUAGCUGUAAACGAUGCUCGCUAGGUGUCAGACACGGUGCGACCGUGUUUGGUGCCGCAGGGAAGCCGUUAAGCGAGCCACCUGGGAAGUACGGUCGCAAGGCUGAAACUUAAAGGAAUUGGCGGGGGAGCAC